rnacentral:rRNA from 1 species
AUUAUGGAGAGUUUGAUCCUGGCUCAGGACGAACGCUGGCGGCAUGCCUAAUACAUGCAAGUCGAGCGAAUGAUGAAGAAGCUUGCUUCUUCUGAUUUAGCGGCGGACGGGUGAGUAACACGUGGGCAACCUGCCCUGUAGAUUGGGAUAACUCCGGGAAACCGGGGCUAAUACCGAAUAAUCCAUUUCCUCACAUGGGGA